rnacentral:rRNA from 1 species
AGUGAAGCGGGAAGAGCUCAAAUUUGAAAUCUGGUGGCCUCAGGUCAUCCGAGUUGUAAUCUAUAGAAGUGUUUUCCGUGCUGGCUCAUGUACAAGUCCCUUGGAACAGGGCGUCAUAGAGGGUGAGAAUCCCGUCCUUGACAUGAACUACCAGUGCUCUGUGAUACAUUUUCAACGAGUCGAGUUGUUUGGGAAUGCAGCUCAAAAUGGGUGGUAAAUUCCAUCUAAAGCUAAAUAUUGGCGAGAGACCGAUAGCGAACAAGUACCGUGAGGGAAAGAUGAAAAGCACUUUGGAAAGAGAGUUAAACAGUAUGUGAAAUUGUUGAAAGGGAAACGAUUGAAGUCAGUCGUGCUCUUUGGAUUCAGCCGGUUCUGCCGGUGUACUUCCUUUGAGUGGGGUCAACAUCAGUUUUGAUCGCUGGAUAAAGGCUGGAGGAACGUAGUACCCUCGGGUAAACUUAUAGCCUCCUGUCACAUACAGUGGUUGGGACUGAGGAACGCAGCACGCCUUUAUGGCCGGGAUUCGUCCACGUACGUGCUUAGGAUGUUGACAUAAUGGCUUUAAACGACCCGUCUU